AAGAGGACAGAGAAAACACAUUACAGAGAGUCAGUCAGCCUCUGGGAUGCGUAGGAGGCUUGUUGCAGCUCCCAGUGUGGUGUGCAAGAAGAGAGAUGACUGAGGGCUAGCCUGGGAGGAAACGUUAAAUUCUCGCUGCCAUUUUGGGGAGCAGACGUCUCCUUCCACCAGCAAGCGAGAGAAGACACGAUGGCAAACUGGUGUGUCCAGUCAGAGUGGGAGAGCAGCCAUGGACCAGAGCUGCUGCAGAUUUGUUCCUGGGAUGGUGACUGUACGGAGUGGCUGACACAGACCUGAGAAUCAGUCAAAAGUAAUUGAAACAGAAGAAGCUCAGCAAUCAACCUAUUAGGUUGCUGGAGCCAGAAAAAUGCUGCUAUGAGGAACCAGAGAAAGGAGAACCAACUUUCCUUCUGAAAACUUAAUGUGGGGAAGAAGCUUCAGCUGCGCUGUCUUUUCUUAUCAGAAGAAUGAAAAUCUGUGGAAUUCUCUUUCUGUGUAUUCUUGUCCUUUGAAA